UACGUAGGGCGCAAGCGUUGUCCGGAAUUAUUGGGCGUAAAGAGCUCGUAGGCGGUCUGUUGCGUCGGCUGUGAAAACCCGAGGCUUAACCUCGGGCCUGCAGCCGAUACGGGCAGGCUAGAGUUCGGCAGGGGAGACUGGAAUUCCUGGUGUAGCGGUGAAAUGCGCAGAUAUCAGGAGGAACACCGGUGGCGAAGGCGGGUCUCUGGGCCGAUACUGACGCUGAGGAGCGAAAGCGUGGGGAGCGAGCAGG
rnacentral:rRNA from 1 species